GGUCAAAUCAUCAUGCCCUUUAUGACCGGGGCUACACACGUACUACAAUGGCAUUUAACAAUGAGGAGCGACGGGGGGACCCUGAGCAAAUCUCCAAAAAGUGCCUCAGUUCGGAUUGCAGGCUGCAACUCGCCUGCAUGAAGUCGGAAUUGCUAGUAAUCGCGAAUCAGCAUGUCGCGGUGAAUACGUUCCCGGGCCUU
rnacentral:rRNA from 1 species